GACGAACGCUGGCGGCGUGCUUAACACAUGCAAGUCGAACGGAAAGGCCCUGCUUUUGUGGGGUGCUCGAGUGGCGAACGGGUGAGUAACACGUGAGUAACCUGCCCUUGACUGUGGGAUAACUUCAGGAAACUGGGGCUAAUACCGGAUAGGAGCUCCUGCUGCAGGGUGGGGGUUGGAAAGUUUCGGCGGUUGGGGAUGGACUCGCGGCUUAUCAGCUUGUUGGUUGGGUAGUGGCUUACCAAGGCUUUGACGGGUAGCCGGCCUGAGCGGGGGACCGGCCACACUGGGACUGAGAUACGGCCCAGACUCCUACGGGAGGCAGCAGUGGAGAAUAUUGCACAAUGGGCGGAAGCAUGAUGCAGCAACGCCGCGUGCGGGAUGACGGCCUUCGGGUUGUAAACCGAUUCCGCCUGUGACGAAGCGUUAGUGACGGUAAUGGGUAAAGAAGCACCGGCUAACUACGUG
rnacentral:rRNA from 1 species